GCAAACUUGGUCAUUUAGAGGAAGUAAAAGUCGUAACAAGGUUUCCGUAGGUGAACCUGCGGAAGGAUCAUUACAGUGCCGCGGGGUGCGCCGGUUUCCCGGCCUCCGCCCCGCACACGGCCACCCGUGUCUACCGUACCUUUUGUUGCCUCGGCGGGCCCGUCGUGCCUGACCAUCCAACCCUCUCGGGGGCGAUGGGGGGAAGGACGACCGCCCGGUGGCGCCUGCCGCCGGGCCCGCGCCCGCCAGAGGACCACUCGAACCCUUUUUGAAAUCUAGUGGCAUCUGACCGAGUUUUGAUCACGAAUCAAGCUUACAAAACUUUCAACAACGGAUCUCUUGGUUCCGGCAUCGAUGAAGAACGCAGC
rnacentral:misc_RNA from 1 species